rnacentral:misc_RNA from 1 species
AAGUCGUAACAAGGUUUCCGUAGGUGAACCUGCGGAAGGAUCAUUAUUGAACUAAGUCGGAUUCGAUGCUGGCCCUUAACCCGGGCAUGUGCUCGUCCUUCAUUUUUCUAACCUUCUUUAUGUGCACAUUUGUAUGCCCCUGAGUAACGAGCGCCUCUCGCAGCAAUGCGGUUUGCUUGGGACUGACGGCCUGGUCGUCUUUCCUGCAAUGCUCUCUGGGGGCUACGUUUUUAUAUACAAGUCAGUUAUAGAAUGUCUUUUAAUGGCUGUUGCCUAGCGCAUGGUCUUAAACAAUUACAACUUUCAGCAACGGAUCUCUUGGCUCUCCCAUCGAUGAAGAACGCAGCGAAAUGCGAUAAGUAAUGUGAAUUGCAGAAUUCAGUGAAUCAUCGAAUCUUUGAACGCACCUUGCGCCCUUUGGUAUUCCGAAGGGCAUGCCUGUUUGAGUGUCAUUAAAUUAUCAACCUUGCUCGCUUUUACCGGCUUGAGCUGAGGCUUGGACGUGGGGGUUUUUGCUGGCUUCCUUCAGUGGAUGGUCUGCUCCCCUUGAAUUCAUUAGCGGGAUCUCUUGUGGACCGUCACUUGGUGUGAUAAUUAUCUAUGCCGUUUGACCUUGAAGCAAAUUUAUGGGACCCUGCUUAUAACUGUCUCUUACCGGGACAAUUUAAUAACAUCUUGACCUCAAAUCAGGUAGGACUACCCGCUGAACUUAAGCAUAUCAAUAAGCGGAGGAAAAGAAACUAACAAGGAUUCCCCUAGUAACUGCGAGUGAAGCGGGAAAAGCUCAAAUUUAAAAUCUGGCGGUCCUUGUGGCCGUCCGAGUUGUAAUUUAGAGAA